rnacentral:lncRNA from 1 species
AGAAACUGAGGCUUAAAAAAAUGAUGAACUCACACUAGGGUGAAACUCCAUCACAAAAAAAAAGGAGAAAAAAAAAAGAGCUCACUAUCCAAAGUCACACAACUGGGAAGCACCAGUGCCAAGAUUAACACACAGAUCUGUCGACCUGCAAACUCAGUGUUAUUUUCUUUACAACACUCCGCGCUAUCAUUCUAGCUUCAAGAAAACAGACUGUGGGCUUCCCGGAAGCAGGGCUCCUGUCAAAUCCAUUACUAAAACAUUCCUAACACCUAACGCCGGACUCAGCACGUGAUGGGGUGCAAAGCAGUGCAGUGCAGCAGCUACUUUGUGACCCUGAGGAUGGAAGACACAUGCUAAGGAAGAUGGAGCAGAAUUAGAGAAGGACCUGAACCAGCCACGGAUUGCUUGCUCAUGAGUUUCUGAUUAUGUGGGGAAAACAAACUCUUGCUUGGUUAAGCUAUUGUAGUGGAUUUUUCUCUUACUCACAGACAAACAUUUUGUCAACUGACACAUCAGCAAUGCAAGAAGAGAACCUUACAGAGGGCUGGUGGAUAAUCCCCACCUCUGACUUCUUGCAAACUGGGUGGACUUGGGCAAGUUACUUAUCUUUCUAACCCUUAGUUUCUUUAUCUGAAAAACAAAUAUGACAAUAGUAUCCCUUGCAAAGAGUGGACAUCAGACUUAAACGCAAAGCUCUCAGCCCAGGGGACUGGCACAGAAGAAGCCCUCAAAAAAUGUAGGAUAUUUCUGUUAAACUGGGUGUUUCAACAAAGUCUACGCUCCAUUUUCCUUAAAAGAACAAUUCUGGAUAAACUAAUUAUACCUUUUUCUUUUCUUUUACUUCCAACCAUUUAGAGGCUUUUGUGCUGCCAUGAUAUUCUUGUUUCGGGAUCAGCAGAUCACACAAAUGAAUCCUAAAGAGUCACUUAGACAGACACUGAAAUUGUCAACUAUUACCCCAUCCUUAAAAUUGACAGCAGUCUUUUUUAAAGUUUUAUUUUAGGUUCAGGGAGUAUACGUGCAGGUUUGUC